GCUCGAACCGGGUAGCGUUUAAAAGCUAUCGGAUGACCUGUGGAUAGGGGUGAAAAGCCAAACGAACACGGAGAUAGCUGGUUCUCCUCGAAAUAGCUUUAGGGCUAGCCUUUAGUGAACAAUGAUGAGGGGGUAGAGCACUGAAUAGUUAAGGGGGCAUUGAGCUUACCGAGACCUAUCAAACUCCGAAUACAAAAUCAAGCACUAAGGAGUCAGACUAUGUGGGAUGAGCUUCAUAGUCGAAAGGGAAACAGCCCAGACCACCAGCUAAGGUCCCAAAAUAAUAGUUAAGUGGGAAAGGAUGUGGAAUUACUCAGACAACCAGGAUGUUGGCUUAGAAGCAGCCAUACAUUUAAAGAGUGCGUAAUAGCUCACUGGUCAAGUGAUUCUGCGCCGAAGAUAACCGGGGCUAAACUAUAUACCGAAGCUGUGGACUAAUGAAAAUUAGUGGUAGAGGAGCAAUGUCUAAGAGGCGAAGCAUAAGGCGUAAGCCAAUGUGGAUUUUAGAGAAGAGAGAAUGCUGGCAUGAGUAGCGAGAGGUGAGUGAGAAUCUCACCCGUCGAAAACCCAAGGUUUCCUGAGCAAGGCUCGUCCACUCAGGGUAAGUCGGGACCUAAGGCGAGGCUGAAAAGCGUAGUCGAUGGAAAACAGGUGGAAAUUCCUGUACCGAUAUCAAGCGUUAAAAAGUAAGUGGGGACGCAGGAGGAUAGCAGCAGCGCCCGGUUGGUGAGGCGUGCAAGCACAAAGGCUAAGAGUGAGGCAAAUCCCGCUCUUACUAAGGCUGAAGUGUGAAGCGGAUCGAAAAACAAGUAGAGAAGGAUGUAACUCCACACUGCCAAGAAAAGCCACUAUCAAGUAAGAUAUCGCCCGUACCGUAAACCGACACAGGUAGGUGAGGAGAGAAUCCUAAGACGAGCGGAAGAACCUUUGUUAAGGAACUCGGCAAAAUGACCCCGUAAGUUAGCGAGAAGGGGAGCCCCUGAAUAGGGGGCCGCAGUGAAAAGGCCCAAGCGACUGUUUACCAAAAACACAAGUUUCUGCAAAGUCGAAAGACGAAGUAUAGGAGCUGACACCUGCCCGGUGCUGGAAGGUUAAGGGGAAGAGUUAGUCGAAAGGCGAAGCUUAGAACCGAAGCCCCAGUAAACGGCGGCCGUAACUAUAACGGUCCUAAGGUAGCGAAAUUCCUUGUCGGGUAAGUUCCGACCCGCACGAAAGG
rnacentral:rRNA from 1 species